rnacentral:rRNA from 1 species
AGGGUUUGAUUAUGGCUCAGAACGUACGCUGGCGGCACGCCUAACACAUGCAAGUCGAACGAAGUAGCAAUACUUAGUGGCGAACGGGUGAGUAUAAUGUGGGUAUCUGCCUUUUGGUUUGGAAUAACACGGGGAAACUUGUGCUAACACCGGAUAAGCCUUCACAGGGAAAGUUUUAACGCCAAAAGAUGAGCCCGCACUUGAUUAGCUAGUUGGUAAGGUAAUGGCUUACCAAGGCUACGAUCAAUAGCUGAUCUGAGAGGAUGAUCAGCCACAUUGGGACUGAGACACGGCCCAGACUCCUACGGGAGGCAGCAGUGGGGAAUCUUGCACAAUGGGGGAAACCCUGAUGCAGCGAUGCCGCGUGAGUGAAGAAGGCCUUUGGGUUGUAAAGCUCUUUCGUCGGGGAAGAAAAUGACUGUACCCGAAUAAGAAGGUCCGGCUAACUUCGUGCCAGCAGCCGCGGUAAUACGAAGGGACCUAGCGUAGUUCGGAAUUACUGGGCUUAAAGAGCUCGUAGGUGGUUAGAAAAGUUGGUGGUGAAAUCCCAAGGCUUAACCUUGGAACUGCCACCAAAACUUUUUGACUAGAGUAUGAUAGAGGAAAGUGGAAUUUCUAGUGUAGAGUGAAAUUCGUA